rnacentral:misc_RNA from 1 species
GUUUUUUUUUUUUUUUUUGGUAUUUCUAUUUUUCAGUACUGUCAGUGAGAAGUUAUUAGAACCUAAUUCACAAAUUUUCUGCAACUUCCUCUCUUUCUUUUCAUUUUCUUGAAAUAACUUAUUGCAUUUUUAUUUUUAUAAUGCUGGGUUUAUGGGUUAUAUUCAUAUGAUAUUCUUGUGUCCGUUUUACAUGCACCCAUUCUGGCAAGCAUUUUGCUUCUGUAGGAAAAUUUUCUAUUUAUUCUUUACGGCCUGAGCUGUUAGAAUUUCAUGGUUUAGUUCCUGUAGAA